AACGCAAAUUGCGCUCGAGGCUUCGGCCAAGAGCAUGUCUGCCUCAGCGUCGGGUUAAUACUCACAUUUGCACUCCAUCCAGAGUGCACAUGUGGAUCUGGCUGUCUCGGUUUAUUUUAAUUAAUUAACCGGGGUAGCUGAAGUGCAGAUGGCAAGGCAUGGACCGAUAAAUAGGGGCUCUACUGGGUAGGCAACUUGGUUGCUGUAUUGCUUUAGUAGAUGGCUUGGGUACUCUCUUUGGUACGUAGCAGGAGUAUCUGUUCAUACAGGUACAGCCAAUACCAUUUUCUCGACCUGAGCUCAGGCAAGAUUACCCGCUGAACUUAA
rnacentral:misc_RNA from 1 species